AUUAUUUUGGCAGAUUAGUGCUAUAGGUUUAGAAUCUAUAUAUGUAAUUUUUUACAAAUAAUA
rnacentral:tRNA from 1 species